CGCCUAACACAUGCAAGUCGAACGAAGUAGCAAUACUUAGUGGCAGACGGGUGAGUAACAUGUAGGUAUCUACCCUUUGGCCUGGAAUAACACGAGGAAACUUGUGCUAAUACCGGAUAAGUCUUUACGGAGAAAGCUUUAUGCACCAUUGGAUGAGCCUGCACUUGAUUAGUUAGUUGGUAGGGUAAUGGCCUACCAAGACUUUGAUCAAUAGCUGAUUUGAGAGGAUGAUCAGCCACAUUGGGACUGAGACACGGCCCAAACUCCUACGGGAGGCAGCAGUGGGGAAUCUUGCACAAUGGAGGAAACUCUGAUGCAGCGAUGCCGCGUGAGUGAAGAAGGCCUUUGGGUUGUAAAGCUCUUUCGUCGGGGAAGAAAAUGACUGUACCCGAAUAAGAAGGUCCGGCUAACUUCGUGCCAGCAGCCGCGGUAAUACGAAGGGACCUAGCGUAGUUCGGAAUUACUGGGCUUAAAGAGUUCGUAGGUGGUUGAAAAAGUUGGUGGUGAAAUCCCAGAGCUUAACUCUGGAACUGCCAUCAAAACUUUUCAGCUAGAGUUUGAUAGAGGAAAGCAGAAUUUCUAGUGUAGAGGUGAAAUUCGUAGAUAUUAGAAAGAAUACCAAUUGCGAAGGCAGCUUUCUGGAUCAUUACUGACACUGAGGAACGAAAGCAUGGGUAGCGAAGAGGAUUAGAUACCCUCGUAGUCCAUGCCGUAAACGAUGUGUGUUAGACGUUGGAAAUUUAUUUUCUGUGUCGCAGCGAAAGCGAUAAACACACCGCCUGGGGAGUACGA
rnacentral:rRNA from 1 species